GCUUACGGCCAUACCACCCUGAACACACCCGAUCUCGUCUGAUCUCGGAAGCUAAGCAGGGUCGGGCCUGGUCAGUACUUGGAUGGGAGACCGCCUGGGAAUACCAGGUGCUGUAAGCU
rnacentral:rRNA from 1 species